rnacentral:misc_RNA from 1 species
UCCGGUUUGUCACCGGCAGUCCCAUUAGAGUGCCCAGCUGAAUGUAGCAACUAAUGGCAAGGGUUGCGCUCGUUGCGGGACUUAACCCAACAUCUCACGACACGAGCUGACGACAGCCAUGCAGCACCUGUGUUACGGUUCCCUUUCGGGCACCCUCCCAUCUCUGGGAGAUUCCGUACAAGUCAAGGGUAGGUAAGGUUUUUCGCGUUGCAUCGAAUUAAUCCACAUAAUCCACCGCUUGUGCGGGUCCCCGUCAAUUCCUUUGAGUCUUAGCCUUGCGGCCGUACUCCCCAGGCGGGGCACUUAAUGCGUUAGCUUCGGCACGGAACCCGUCGAUAGAGCCCCACACCUAGUGCCCAACGUUUACGGCGUGGACUAC